GAUGAACGCUGGCGGCGUGCCUAAUACAUGCAAGUCGAGCGAACAGACGAGGAGCUUGCUCCUCUGACGUUAGCGGCGGACGGGUGAGUAACACGUGGAUAACCUACCUAUAAGACUGGGAUAACUUCGGGAAACCGGAGCUAAUACCGGAUAAUAUAUUGAACCGCAUGGUUCAAUAGUGAAAGACGGUUUUGCUGUCACUUAUAGAUGGAUUCGCGCCGCAUUAGCUAGUUGGUAGGGUAACGGCUUACCAAGGCAACGAUGCGUAGCCGACCUGAGAGGAUGAUCAGCCACACUGGAACUGAGACACGGUCCAGACUCCUACGGGAGGCAGCAGUAGGGAAUCUUCCGCAAUGGGCGAAAGCCUGACGGAGCAACGCCGCGUGAGUGAAGAAGGUCUUCGGAUCGUAAAACUCUGUUAUUAGGGAAGAACAAAUGUGUAAGUAACUAGGCACGUCUUGACGGUACCUAAUCAGAAAGCCACGGCUAACUACGUG
rnacentral:rRNA from 1 species